rnacentral:rRNA from 1 species
CGAACGGUAACAGGAAGCAGCUUGCUGYUUCGCUGACGAGUGGCGGACGGGUGAGUAAUGUCUGGGAAACUGCCUGAUGGAGGGGGAUAACUACUGGAAACGGUAGCUAAUACCGCAUAACGUCGCAAGACCAAAGAGGGGGACCUUCGGGCCUCUUGCCAUCGGAUGUGCCCAGAUGGGAUUAGCUAGUAGGUGGGGUAACGGCUCACCUAGGCGACGAUCCCUAGCUGGUCUGAGAGGAUGACCAGCCACACUGGAACUGAGACACGGUCCAGACUCCUACGGGAGGCAGCAGUGGGGAAUAUUGCACAAUGGGCGCAAGCCUGAUGCAGCCAUGCCGCGUGUAUGAAGAAGGCCUUCGGGUUGUAAAGUACUUUCAGCGGGGAGGAAGGGAGUAAAGUUAAUACCUUURCUCAUUGACGUU